rnacentral:lncRNA from 1 species
UCUGCCUCUCUAACAGGGUUAUUUUGAGUGUUAGAUUUAUCUUACUUGUAGUUGUUUUUUUAUUUUAAAAAAAUUUUGAAAUGAUAAACUAACAAAGGUCAGGGAAAGUUCUUAGACUACUCUGGCAAGGCAGGCUGGACAAUUCUAAGGCGAUGAGGUACCAAGGAGGCUAGUAGUAUAAACCACAGUGCCUCAACUUUCCUGCCCCUCCCCUGUUCUCCACUCCUCCAUGCAAAACAUGAAAAGCACACUUCUCCACUGGCAGAUCAGACUAGCAUGCAACCAUCUUCAGGAAUAAUCUAAGCCUGAAAUAGUUGAGAGGAAUUGUGAGCAUAUCAGCAUCAAGUACCACUGGUGUGGCAAUGCACACUUCAACCUCUUCUUCAGUCACAAAGAGUUACAUCUCAUCACAGACAAAUGGGAUAACACUCAUUAAUUGGUGGGCGAUGGCUCGUGUUAUUUUUGAGGUGAUGCUUGUUGUUGUUGGAAUGAUCAUCUUAAUUUCUUACUGUAUUCGAUGACUGAUAAAGGUUUUCAUGCCUCUGGGAUUGAGAUUAGAGGAAGAAAGCAAAGAAAGGACAUUUUUUUACUUCACUGUUCAUGGUGUAAUUGUGUGCCUGACGGCUGUAGCUACUAACUUGGCUUACGUUGACUGGCUACUAAGGGACUCUAGGAGUCAGAAACUAAAUGCUGAGUCUCUCAAAGGCGUAGAGAGAAUUUCAGAGGGCCUUACCAUGACAUGAGGAUUAAACUCCAGUUCUGCCCGAUUCUCAUCACGAAAUCCUUAUCCCAUGCCUCAUUGUGUUUGGUGUCCCCUUGCCUAGGGGACAGUCCUCCUGGGUAAGAUCAGCAAGAUAACUCUUCAGUCACAUUCCAUUUGAUACUUUGAAUACUCUGAGGUCCUUACCCACCAAAUGGAUGGAAUUCAGCUGCUCAAUCACUGCCUUUCUCAGAACUCGGUUGUCCAACCACAAUUCCCUUUCCCUUAGGAUAGGGCUAUAUUGGCAAAAUGCCGCCCGAACAGACUGCUGACAGUAAACCAAAUAUUAGUUUCUCUCACCUUCUUGAAGGCAUUUACAGUCUUUGUAAGCUUUUCUCCUAGAUUUUCCCUUUCCUGUUCCUGCUUAGAUUCUAAGAAUGAAGUGCAUCCUUCUCCUUUUCUUCAUUAGGUGAAGUGGGAUUUACCCAUUACCAUAUAUUCACCACCAGGUCACUGACGAGAGACUCCAGUGAAUCGCUUUCCCUCUGCAUUCCUCUCCUUGUACAGACUAGAGGGUCACAUUGUGUAAAGCCUAACAUAGCCCUGCAAAGAGAUCUGGCCCCAGCAGUGAACACAAACUCAGUAAUUCUCUUUAGAGUGAGGUGGUAAUCAGUGCCUCUUGGUUUCAGCCGUGGUCCUAGUGGCUACUUAUGGAAGAAUAGGAAUAGUUCCACAACAUCCUGUAACAUUGGCUUACCUGUAUAUUAUAUGCCACCCGUAACCAUAAAAACACCAGGAUUUAGGUUCCUUGAAGGUAAUGACUAUGGGUCCCUCUCUGUGGAAGAAUACUGAAUAGAAGAGAGAAAUCACUCAAUAUGUGGAAUGACUGAUAUGGUUUGGCUGUGUUCCCACUCAAAUCUCAUCUUGAAUUGUAGUUCCAAUAAUCCCCACAUGUCAUGGGAGGAACCCAGUGGGAGGUACUUGAAUCAUUGCGGUGGUUUCCCCUGUGCUAUUCUCAUGAUAGUGAGUAAAUUCUCACAUAAUCUGAUAGUUUUAUAAAGGAGCUUCCCCCUUCACUCAGCUCUCAUUCUUCUCCUUCCUGCCACUAUGUAAGAAAGAUGUGUUUGUUUCCCCUUUGGUCAUGAUUGUAAGUAUCCUGAGACCUUCCCAGCCAUGCAAAACUGUAGAUCAAUAAAACCUCUUUCCUUUAUAAAUUACACAGUCUUGGGCAGUUUUUUAUAACAGCAUGAGAACAGACUAAUACAGUAAGUUGGUACUAGAGGUGGGGUGCUGCUAUAAGGAUACCUAAAAAUGCAGAAGUGACUUUGGAACUAGAUAACAGACAGCCUGUGAAAGCAGCCGAGGCGGGGGGGUUUACCAUGCAAAGCCACAGGAGCUGAGCUUCCCAAGACUGUGGGAGCCCACCUCUUGCAACAGCAUUACCUGGAUGUGAGACAUGGAGUCAAAAGAGAUUAUUAAGAUGCUUUAAGAUUUAAUUACUGCUCCACUGGAUUUCAGACUUGCAUGGGCCUGUAGCUCCUGUUUUUGGCCAAUUUAUCCUAUUUAGAAUGGGUGCAUUUACCCAUUGCCUAUACCCUCAUUGUAUCUAGGAAGUAACUAACUUGCUUUUGAUUUUACAGGCUCAUAGGUGGAAGGGACUUGCCUUGUCUCAGAUGAGACUUUGGACUUGGACUUUUGAGUUAAUGCUGGAAUGAGUUUAGACUUUGGGGGACUGUUUGGAAGGCAUGAUUGUGUUUUGAAAUGUGAGGACAUGAGAUUUGGGAGGGGUCAGGGGCAUAGUGAUGUGGUUUGGCUGUGUCCCCACCCAAAUCUCAUCUUGAAUUGUAGUUCCCACAAUCCCCAUGUGUUGUGGGAGGAAUGUAGUGGGAGGUAAUUGAAUCAUUGUGGCAGUUUCCCCCAUGCUAUUUUCAUGAUAGUGAGCAAAUUCUCAUGAGAUCUGAUGGUUUUAUAAGGGGCUUCCCCAUUUACUUUUGCCAUCAUGUGAAAAACGAUGUGUUUGCUUCCCCUUCUGCCACGAUUGUAAGUUUCCUGAAACCUUCUCAGCCA